rnacentral:rRNA from 1 species
UACGAAGGGGGCUAGCGUUGUUCGGAAUCACUGGGCGUAAAGCGCGCGUAGGCGGCUUUGUAAGUUAGAGGUGAAAGCCUGGAGCUCAACUUCAGAAUUGCCUUUAAGACUGCAUCGCUUGAAUCCGGGAGAGGUGAAUGGAAUUCCGAGUGUAGAGGUGAAAUUCGUAGAUAUUCGGAAGAACACCAGUGGCGAAGGCGGCUCACUGGACCGGCAUUGACGCUGAGGUGCGAAAGCGUGGGGAGCAAACAGG